UGUCGUACCAGGUAGCCG
rnacentral:rRNA from 1 species